rnacentral:lncRNA from 1 species
GCUUCAGGCCGGAGAGGUUUGAAGGCAAAUCCAUUGAUUUCAAAGGAGGUAACUUCGAGUACUUGCCGUUCGGUGCUGGAAGAAGGAUAUGCCCUGGAAUGGGGUUUGGGCUCGCUACCGUACACCUAUCCUUGGCGCAGCUCCUCCUCUACUUCGACUGGAAGCUGCCCGACGGCAGGAAACCAGAGGAGGUGGAUAUGAGCGAGACCUACGGAGUUACUGUAACAAGGAAAACUGAGCUGAAGCUGUUUGCAACACCUCGUAUUCCUAUCCCUUCUACUGUUUAAGGAUUACAGUGUGUUUAAUGGAUGUUGCAUGUGAACCAAACGGGAGAUGCAUCCCCACUACCUUAUCUUCAAAAUUAUGUUUAUAUAUGUGUGCUUAUGUGCGGAUAUUUGAAUCUUAUUACAGGUUUCGCAAGGAAUGCUAUUUUCUGUGACUUUUUGUUUUCUCUCGCUACUUGAUCAUAGGCACUGAGACCUAAUAAUGAAAGUAAAAGUUUUUUCUAUAAAAGGAAAGGCAAAAAUAAACUUUACUUGAUCCUUCGCAUUGGUAUGAAUCAAAAUAUCAAGAUUAUAAGACCAGUCAUCAAAUUGGGCACAAGAAGAAAAAUUAAUAUGGACAAAAUAUGUUAGAAUUUUCUUUGCAAAAUUUUACAAUCGUUGAAAGAUUUGCACAAACGAGUGAGAGCCGUCCAUUAAUUAUUCAUUUUGAUUCUAUCUUAUUUUCCAUAUCAAUCUUGGACCUAUUCUUUCUAAAACAAGCAUUUUUUGAUAGUAAUAAUAAUAAUAAUAAUAAUAAUAAUAAUAAUAAUAAUAAUAAUAAUAAUAAUAAUAAAUACUUGAAUUUGUUCCAUCGUCAUCUCCUAUAUCGAAUCGGCUUAUGGUAUUGGGAAUAUGAGAGUAAAAGUUAUAUGUCUUUUGUAACAUUGAUUUAGAACUUUCAUUCGCAUUUUGGUCUAUGAGGAUCAUCUCAAUUUAUAUUUUUAUUUCUUUGAAUUUGGCUUAAUAGCUUUUGAAUUAGGAAAGGCUCUCUUUUCUUGGAUUAUGUGACAACUUUGCAAAAAGUGUUUAUUGCUACAGUUCUAUGGGUUUUAUGAAGUGCUGGAAAUAAUAUCAUUUUAAAAAAUUAAAUCUUUAUUCUAUUAUUUUAUUCCUCAAAACUGUCUCAUGUAUACACUCUAUGAUCAAGUCAACUAAACUUCAAAGAUCGAUCAAGCCUUGCCCUUAUCCAGUUAAAUGAAAAAAAAACUAGCAAUUGCUGGGAUCAAAUUUGAUUAUGACGAUUGUUGGGAUCAUGAAUGUGAUGGUGGCAUUGGCUUUCCUGCUAUAUGUGAUGAUGCUUUUGUUUAUUUCUUAGGUUAUAGGUAUCUUAGCAUAUGAGAUAGCAACUAUUUAUUGUGAAGUAAAGACUAUCUUAGAGGGAUUUCGCUUAGCUUUGGAGGAUGAAUUUUUUUAUGUUCACAUCAACUCAUACAUUAAGCUUAUAUUCAAUAUCCUAAGUAGAUAGUCUCCUCCUCAUGGAGAAUUUUGAAUAUUAUUAUGGCUUAUGGCCGCUUUUCACUUUGAUAUCUACUAUGAAUGAUUAUAAAAUAACAUAUGUAUUAUGUGAAGGAAAUUUUGUUGCUAACUAGUUGGCCAAUCAUGCUAGGGCCAGCAAAUUUUAUGGUCUUUGGAGCAAUUUAUUUUAUACAAACUUAGAUCUUUUGGUUUGUGUUGAUGCGAACACGGGUUUUUUUUUUGUCAAUAAAAUUCUUUAUUUUUUUUGUUAAAAAUAAUAUAUGCGAAAGAUUAUUUCACAGAAAAGAGAGUUCAUUAUGAGAGAAUCAUUAUUGAAAAUGAUAUCAAGUGAUCCAAAGAAUGCAUCAGGUGGUUGCAACAAUAGACCGAUCCAAAUAGUGGAUAUGAUGGUUGUAAUAGUCGAAUGAUGUAACAUUGUGACACAAUCAUUCAAAUGAAAAAAAUCUUUAUUGUCUUGCUAAGCAUAGUUAUUUGUGACGAUCUUAGAUACAUGAAUUAUUGCAUAUCUUGAGAUGUAAGCAUAUCUCACAGAAGACAUCCUUCAAUGAUUGGGGAGCAUUGUGGUGAUGAGGGUCGAUAACAACAAAUGGAAGAGACAAUGACUGCAGAGCCCGAGACGGCCAAUCGGAGUACAUGCCAUGUUCAAUUCCGUAAUUGCAUCAUUGUAGCCACUAUUAUCCUGCUCGAUGCUAUUAUAAACCUGCAAGCAUACAGAAGUGUGGCUUGUCCCAUUAAAAUCCAAGAUAACCCAAAUAGAUUAGUGGAUCGAACUAUGGUGCAUUCCAAAUGCAGCUAUCACGAGAACUAUGAUGGCGUCUAAAGAUACAUAAGCCUAAUCUUUGAUUAUGCUAUUUAAUUUCUAUAUUGGUAUUAAGUUAUUUUACAUGAUAAAUUUUAUGCUUACAAAGAUGUAUAAUUUAUAAUCUCUAAAAUUAUGAUCUCUUCAUACUCUCUUGGAUCUAUCUAAUCUCUCCUGUUAGAGUUGUUCUUUAAAUAAAUUUACUAUACUUUUACUUCAGCUAUCACAAGAACUCCUAUCUUGUUUAAAACUCUUCAACUCUGAGAAAUAAAAAUAAAAAUAAAACGCUUUUCCAUUUGGUUCCCAACCCCUUAUAAACAUGUAGUGGAGAGACAAACUACAGGUGGAUUAACUGACCUUGCUGUCUUAUUCAGCACUUGCACGUGCCGCACGUGGAGGGUUACCUGCCACACGUGAGCGUACAUCUAUAUAUUAGAGCUUCGGGCGAAGGCCAACGUACGAGUGAAUAGCCAAGUUUUUUGCGUCAUUUCCAUGGAGCAUCUUCUCUUGGCUUCCGUCCCCAUUGUGGUAGCCACCAUGCUCUUCUUGAUCAUCUUCAUCAAGAAAGUAUUCAGCGAGUCCGAAGCCCAAUACCCGCGACCUCCCCCUGGCCCGUGGAGGCUGCCCAUCAUCGGAUGCAUGCACCAUUUGGCCGGCCAAAUCCCCUUCCGCGCAUUCCGCCGCCUCUCUCUCACCUACGGGCCUCUCAUGCUUCUCAGAAUUGGCCAGGUAGACUUCGCGGUGGCCUCCUCCCGGGAAACCGCUCAAGAGAUCUUGAAGAACCAAGACCCCAACUUCGCCUCGCGGCCGGAGCUCGUCGUAGGAGAUAUCGUCUUCUACGGUUGCUCCGACGUUAUCUUCUCCCCCUAUGGCCCCUACUGGAAGCAACUGCGCUACAUCUGCUUCAUGGAGCUGCUCCGAACCAAGCGCAUCCGGUCUUCCGCCUCCAUCAGGGAGGAAGAGACCCUUUACUUGAUCCGAGACAUCUCCACGGCAACACAACCGAUCAACCUGAGAGAGAAGCUCCUCAGAAUGUCCAACGCAGCCAUAUCCAGGGCGGCAAUUGGCUCACGAAGCAAGCACCAGGAGACGUUCAUCUUGGUCGCCAGGGAGGUCGUCGACGUGCUUGGAGGGUUCUAUGCCGCCGACGUGUUUCCGUCGCUGAAGAUCCUCCACGUCCUGUCAGGUGCCAAGUUCAAGUUGCACAGGAUAUGCCGGAGGCUUGACAAGAUCUUAGAUGACAUAGUUAAGGUGCAUGAGGUUAAGGCCAAGAUGAACAAAGGUCGGGAAGUAGCCGAAGUGGAGGAGGACAUAGUCGAUGCGCUACUAAGGCUUAAAGACGAAUCCGAACUAGAAGUUCCGAUGACCGUGGACGGAAUAAAGGCUGUGAUCCUUGUGAGUGUUACUUCCUGUGGUAGUCGUUAGUGUCCACAAUGUACAAGAGAUCAGUGUUCCGUUAUCCAACUCUUUCGAUUCCAUGAUUCUAUCUAUAGGACAUGUUACUCGGAGGGACCGAGAACUCACCUGCAGUGGUCGAAUGGGCCAUGUCGGAGCUGAUGAGGAACCCCAAGAUAAUGGCGAAAGCACAGAAGGAGGUGAUGGAAGAGCUGAAGGGAAAGAACAGGAUACAAGAGACAGACAUCGUGGAGCUGAACUACCUCAAGUCGAUCGUUAAGGAGACACUAAGGCUUCACCCACCUAUCAGCCUGAUACUAAGAAUGUGUAGGAAGACGUGUGAGGUGCUCGGCUACGAGAUAGAAGCCGGCACUCGAGUCUUGGUCAAUGCAUGGGCGAUCAACAGAGAUCCACAGUACUGGGAAGAGGCCGAGAGCUUCAUGCCGGAGAGGUUCGAAGGCAAAUCCGUUGAUUUCAAAGGAGGUAACUUCGAGUACUUGCCGUUCGGUGCUGGAAGACGGAUAUGCCCUGGAACGGAGUUUGGGCUCACCACCGUACACCUAUCCUUGGCGCAGCUCCUCCUCUACUUCGACUGGAAACUGCCGGAUGGCAGGAAACCAGAGGAGUUGGACAUGAGCGAGACCUACGGAGUUACUGUAACAAGGAAAACUGAGCUGAAGCUGUUAGCAACUCCUCGUAUUCCUAUCCCUUCUACUGUUUAAGUAUUACAGUGUGUUUAAAGGAUGUUGCAUGUGAACCAAACGGGACAUGUAUCCCACUACCGUAUC